CCUACGGGAGGCAGCAGUGGGGAAUAUUGGACAAUGGGCGAAAGCCUGAUCCAGCCAUGCCGCGUGUGUGAAGAAGGCCUUCGGGUUGUAAAGCACUUUCAGUGGGGAAGAAAGCCUUGGGGCUAAUACCCUCGAGGAAGGACAUCACCCACAGAAGAAGCACCGGCUAACUCCGUGCCAGCAGCCGCGGUAAUACGGAGGGUGCGAGCGUUAAUCGGAAUUACUGGGCGUAAAGCGCGCGUAGGCGGUCUGAUAAGCCGGUUGUGAAAGCCCCGGGCUCAACCUGGGAACGGCAUCCGGAACUGUCAGGCUAGAGUGCAGGACAGGAAGGUAGAAUUCCCGGUGUAGCGGUGAAAUGCGUAGAGAUCGGGAGGAAUACCAGUGGCGAAGGCGGCCUUCUGGACUGACACUGACGCUGAGGUGCGAAAGCGUGGGUAGCAAACAGGAUUAGAUACCCCUGUAGUC
rnacentral:rRNA from 1 species